rnacentral:misc_RNA from 1 species
UACGUAGGGGGCGAGCGUUGUCCGGAAUUAUUGGGCGUAAAGAGCUCGUAGGCGGUCUUUUAAGUCGGGUGUGAAAUCUCAGGGCUCAACUCUGAAACUGCACCCGAUACUGGGAGACUUGAGGCAGGUAGGGGAGAUCGGAAUUCCUGGUGUAGCGGUGAAAUGCGCAGAUAUCAGGAGGAACACCGGUGGCGAAGGCGGAUCUCUGGGCCUGUUCUGACGCUGAGGAGCGAAAGCGUGGGGAGCAAACAGG